rnacentral:sRNA from 1 species
AUGCCUACUCGGAAGGAGACUGGAGAAGGGGGGGGUCUCCCUCAACGGAGAGUGGGUGUGUUGUUGGCUGAGGAGGGGGCAGUGGAUGCUAGGCAGGCAGAAUUACAGGCAUCCUUUUUCACUGUGGAACAGGGGAGGCUCGCUUAUCAGGGUGACCAUUAGAAAGUCAUCCUAGUGGCAGGGAGUGGCAGAGAGACCAGCAGUGAGCUGUUGCAGCAGUUCAGUUGGGAGUUUCUGGAGGCGAAAGUGGUGAUUAUAACCCUCCCCAAGCGAAGCAUAUGUGAAUUUCCAGACCAGAGAUGGAGGAAGACGAAACUGUAUGUGUUUACUAAAAGAGAGGCCAACCUGCCCCCGACGCUGGCCAAAUCUCAGGUGAGCAGCGUGCGUAAGAAUCUGAAGCUGCACCUGUUGAGUGUGCUGAAGCACCCGGCUUCCUUGGAGUUCCAGGCCCAGAUCACCACCCUGCUGGUGGACCUGGGCACACCUCAGGCCGAGAUCGCCCGCAACAUGCCGAGCAGCAAGGACACCCGCAAGCGGCCCCGCGAUGACUCGGACUCCACACUCAAGAAGAUGAAGCUGGAGCCCAACCUGGGGGAGGAUGAU